rnacentral:tRNA from 1 species
GGAAAUGUGCCUGAGCAAAGGGUCACUAUGAUAAGGUGAACACAGAGGUGCACAAACCCUCUCAUUUCCU